rnacentral:tRNA from 1 species
GCGCGGAGUUGCCGUGCGGUUGAUGGCACCGGCCUCCAGCGCCGCGAGGUAGUCAAAGAGGUGGGAGACUCCGACGGAACCUUUCCCGCGCA